UAGUGAAUUAGAAUGGGAAAUACCUUGCUAUUGUCUGUGACUCUGUGAUUGUGCGAGUAUGAGUGACAGAGUGGGGACAGAGAGAGAGGGAGAGAGAAUGCAUUAAAUUUUAAAGAAGGACAGUAAGGGAUGCCUGGGUGGCUUACUCAGUUAAGCGUCUAUCUUUGGUUCAGGUCAUGAUCCCAGAGUCCUGGGACUGGAUCCCAUACCAGGCUCUAGUGGGGGGCCUGCCUUUCCUCUGCCUCCUGCUCCCCUUGCUUGUGAUUUCUCUCUCUUCCUCUGUAACAAAUAAUAGUAAAAAAUAAACAAGGGCGAUAAGUAAUGUUUACUUUUGUUUUUGAUGCCAGACAUAGGUUCAGAGGAUUGAAGAGGGAGAUCCAAGGAGCUAGCCUCUUAAGAGGAGUGAAUACCUAGUCACUGGAAAAUUUCCAGUUCUUAGUAUAACUGCCAACUGGCCCAGGGGUGGACAAGUGAGUCAGAUGAGACCAAAAUGAAAAUUCUGUUGAGACACUGGACCUUGAGGAUUCAAGCCAAGGAUGAAAAAGUUUAGUAGGUUGUCCCUCAGGAUUCUGCAUGUCUGGAUUUGCAAUCGUGGAAACUGCCAAAGGUCCAGGGUCCUCAGUGGCAGAACCUGGCCUCUGCCACUAUUGCCCAAGGUAGGGACUCCGGUCCCUUGAGUGUUCUGUGCUGCUGUCAAAGGGUUCUGACCCCAGAGGCCUUGCAGUAGACACCCUACAAUUUGGGGACACCUGGGCAAUACCAGAGGACUCAGCCUGCCGCCCAGAAGGAAACCAUGCCAU